CAGUGUCCGUCCGGUUGAGGUAGAUGCUAGAAUCAAGUGGUGCUAAGGGACCUUUUCCGUCUAGGGGAGGAGUUACGACAUAAGGGGGAGGAGUGUCCGUCGUGAUCAGACUCUCCAGCUGUGAGGAACCAGAGUCUUUAUUACACGUCACACGUUCUGUAUUCUCAUCUAUCACAAAGCAUGGACAUGGACGGAAGUCACAGGACUGAGAGGAUAAUAAAUAUCACCCUGGAGAUCAUCUACCUGCUGACUGGAGAGGAUUACACAGUAGUGAGGAAGACAUUCGGUGAGUAUGAGACACCCAGCAGCCGUCUCCGCAUAUCAGGAGGACUGAGCAGGACCCAGAGCCCCAUCACGGUGCCUCAACCUCACUCACUGAUACAUGAGAGACACAAUGACCAGAAAAUCCUGGAACUCACCAACAAGAUCAUUCAGCUGCUGACUG